ACUGAAUAGAUACCCUGGUAGUCCCAGCCGUAAACGAUGCUCGCUAGGUGUCAGGCAUGGCGCGACCGUGUCUGGUGCCGCAGGGAAGCCGUGAAGCGAGCCACCUGGGAAGUACGGCCGCAAGGCUGAAACUUAAAGGAAUUGGCGGGGGAGCACAACAACGGGUGGAGCCUGCGGUUUAAUUGGACUCAACGCCGGACAACUCACCGGGGGCGACAGCAAUAUGUAGGCCAGGCUGAAGACCUUGCCUGAAUCGCUGAGAGGAGGUGCAUGGCCGUCGCCAGUUCGUACUGUGAAGCAUCCUGUUAAGUCAGGCAACGAGCGAGACCCGUGCCCACUGUUACCAGCAUGUCCUCCGGGACGAUGGGUACUCUGUGGGGACCGCCGAUGUUAAAUCGGAGGAAGGUGCGGGCCACGGUAGGUCAGUAUGCCCGAAUCUCCCGGGCUACACGCGGGCUACAAUGGAUGGGACAAUGGGUCCCUCCCCGUGAAAACGGGCUGGUAAUCUCACAAACCCGAUUCGUAGUUCGGAUCGAGGGCU
rnacentral:rRNA from 1 species